rnacentral:rRNA from 1 species
CGGCAAAGCUCAAAUUUGAAAUCUGGUACCUUUGGUGCCCGAGUUGUAAUUUGGAGAGUACCACUUUGGGACUGUACUUUGCCUAUGUUCCUUGGAACAGGACGUCAUGGAGGGUGAGAAUCCCGUGUGGCGAGGGUGUCAGUUCUUUGUAAAGGGUGCUCGAAGAGUCGAGUUGUUUGGGAAUGCAGCUCUAAGUGGGUGGUAAAUUCCAUCUAAAGCUAAAUACAGGCGAGAGACCGAUAGCGAACAAGUACAGUGAUGGAAAGAUGAAAAGAACUUUGAAAAGAGAGUGAAAAAGUACGUGAAAUUGUUGAAAGGGAAGGGCAUUUGAUCAGACAUGGUGUUUUGCGCCCCUUGCCUCUCGUGGGCUUGGGACUCUCGCAGCUCACUGGGCCAGCAUCGGUUUUGGCGGCCGGAAAAAACCUAGGGAAUGUGGCUCUGCGCCUCGGUGUAGAGUGUUAUAGCCCUGGGGAAUACGGCCAGCCGGGACCGAGGACUGCGAUACUUGUUAUCUAGGAUGCUGGCAUAAUGGUUAUAUGCCGCCCGUC